UCUACAAUGGCUCCCGCUGAACACCCCAGAAGCUCAUCCUUCUUCUAAGGGUUCUAGAGAAGCUCUUCCUUGUGUCUAAUUACAUCUUCCCAUCACAAAUCCUGAUUUGCCCUUCAGGGCCAACACAGAGAAAGUCUCUCCUUGGACCAGGCACAGCGGUUCAAUGAUCUUGUACACAAGGAAGAACGCAGCAAGGCCCAUGCAGAACCACGAAGAAAAUUAAAAACUGCACCUCAGACCAGCGAGAUGACUCAGCAGGUGAAAACCCUUGCUGGAUAAGCCUGAAGACCUGAGUGGGAUACCUGGGACCCACACAGUGGUGGAAGGACAGAACAGAGGUGUCCUCUGACCUUACCCACACCAAGGCACAGGUACACACACAUGCACACACACGCAUGCAUG
rnacentral:lncRNA from 1 species